CAGAAAUAGGAGUUCUCUUGCAGCCCAAAACACCCUCUGCAUCAACUUCAUGCUGUUUUGGACUGAAGGGAGCUCCUUCUUCUU
rfam:Vigna angularis cultivar Jingnong 6 chromosome 1, whole genome shotgun sequence.